rnacentral:rRNA from 1 species
GGAUGCGAUCAUACCAGCACUAACGCACCGGAUCCCAUCAGAACUCCGAAGUGAAGCGUGCUUGGGCGAGAGUAGUACUAGGAUGGGUGACCCCCUGGGAAGUCCUCGUGUUGCAUCCC